GAUCGUACAUUCCAGCACGAUGUUCUUCACACUCUCAACUUUGGGGUGGGAGGUGACACAACAUAGAAUGCCUUGUGGAGAAUGAGCAAUGGAGAGUUGGCCCACAUCAGCCCAAAGGUUGUGGUGCUGUGGGUGGGAACCCAUAAUCACAGUCACACUGCAGAACAGAUCUGUGGAGGCAUUAUGGCCAUAGUCCAACUCAUCAAGGACAAGCUGUCGAAGGCUUACACUCUCGUACUGGGGUUCCUGAACUGAUGUACAAAGUUCAGGUGUCAGUGCCACUACAGUGGAGAACCCAGGGAGAAUUGGAGACCAGAUCAACCCCCCCACAGACACCAUGACAGACUGUGUGACUGUAAGGGGAGGAGGAGAGAGGGUUUGAGUGGAGGCUGCCUCUGCCAGAAGUCUGCCAAAUCCUACCGCAAGCCCAGGAAGGCCUUUGUGGAAAUGUGCCUAAGGAAAGGAUUCCAGAAUCAGUGGAAAUGCCAGAAGAUCAUGGAAAGAGUAGAGAGGUCAAAGGGUGAUCAAGGCAAAAAGAGUUGACCUUUAAUCUCAUGUUGCUCGCUCAAGAACCAUGACUCGUUUUUUAAUAAAAAUGUAUUAGAUAAUUAUA